rnacentral:misc_RNA from 1 species
GAUGAAGAACGCAGCGAAAUGCGAUACGUAAUGUGAAUUGCAGAAUUCAGUGAAUCAUCGAAUCUUUGAACGCAUAUUGCGCUCUUUGGUAUUCCGAAGAGCAUGCUUGUUUGAGUAUCAGUAAACACCUCAACCUCUUCUUGAUUUUUCAAAAGGAGGGUGGACUUGAGCUAUCCCAACAACCUUUACCGGUCGGCGGGCGGCUUGAAAUGCAGGUGCAGCUGGACUUUUAUCUGAGCUAAAAGCAUAUCUAUUUAGUCCUCGUCAAACAGGAUUAUUACUUUUGCUGCAGCUAACAUAAAGGAUAAUUGUCCUCUUUGCUGACUGAUGCAGGAUUUUACGACACUUUAUGUGUUGUUCAACUCGAUCUCAAAUCAAGUAAGACUACCCGCUAAACUUAAGCAUAUCAAUAAGCGGAGGA